ACGUAGGGUGCAAGCGUUAAUCGGAAUUACUGGGCGUAAAGCGUGCGCAGGCGGUUAUAUAAGUCAGAUGUGAAAUCCCCGGGCUCAACCUGGGAACUGCAUUUGAGACUGUAUGGCUAGAGUGUGUCAGAGGGGGGUAGAAUUCCACGUGUAGCAGUGAAAUGCGUAGAUAUGUGGAGGAAUACCGAUGGCGAAGGCAGCCCCCUGGGAUAACACUGACGCUCAUGCACGAAAGCGUGGGGAGCAAACAGGAUUAGAUACCCUGGUAGUCCACGCCCUAAACGAUGUCUACUAGUUGUCGGGACUUAAUUGUCUUGGUAACGCAGCUAACGCGUGAAGUAGACCGCCUGGGGAGUACGGUCGCAAGAUUA
rnacentral:rRNA from 1 species